CUACGUGCCAGCAGCCGCGGUAAUACGUAGGGCGCGAGCGUUGUCCGGAAUUAUUGGGCGUAAAGAGCUUGUAGGCGGUUUGUCGCGUCUGCUGUGAAAGGCCGGGGCUUAACCCCGUGUAUUGCAGUGGGUACGGGCAGACUAGAGUGCAGUAGGGGAGACUGGAAUUCCUGGUGUAGCGGUGGAAUGCGCAGAUAUCAGGAGGAACACCGAUGGCGAAGGCAGGUCUCUGGGCUGUAACUGACGCUGAGAAGCGAAAGCAUGGGGAGCGAACAGGAUUAGAUACCCUGGUAGUCCAUGCCGUAAACGUUGGGCACUAGGUGCGGGGGACAUUCCACGUUUUCCGCGCCGUAGCUAACGCAUUAAGUGCCCCGCCUGGGGAGUACGGCCGCAAGGCUAAAACUCAAAGAAAUUGACGGGGGCCCGCACAAGCGGCGGAGCAUGCGGAUUAAUUCGAUGCAACGCGAAGAACCUUACCAAGGCUUGACAU
rnacentral:rRNA from 1 species